AACGAACGCUGGCGGCAGGCCUAACACAUGCAAGUCGAACGGGCGUAGCAAUACGUCAGUGGCGGACGGGUGAGUAACACGUGGGAAUAUGCCUUUCGGUUCGGAACAACUCGGGGAAACGUCGUGCUAAUUCCGGAUACGCCCUUACGGGAAGGAUUAUCGCCGAAAGAUUAGCCCGCGUUGGAUUAGCUAGUUGGUGAGGUAACGGCCCGACCAAGGCAACGAUCCAUAGCUGGUUUGAGAGAACGACCAGCCACACUGGGACUGAGA
rnacentral:rRNA from 1 species